rnacentral:rRNA from 1 species
UACGUAGGGUGCAAGCGUUAAUCGGAAUUACUGGGCGUAAAGCGUGCGCAGGCGGUUGUGCAAGACCGAUGUGAAAUCCCCGGGCUUAACCUGGGAAUUGCAUUUGUGACUGCACGGCUAGAGUGUGUCAGAGGGGGGUAGAAUUCCACGUGUAGCAGUGAAAUGCGUAGAUAUGUGGAGGAAUACCGAUGGCGAAGGCAGCCCCCUGGGAUAACACUGACGCCUCAUGCACGAAAGCGUGGGGGAGCAAACAGG